CUUGGGAUGGAGAUGGAUUCUACAUUAGUUUAAUUUACUUUUGCUUUGGUCUCGGAUAUUGAAAUAACCUAAUGUAAUCGUAAAUAUAUACUUAUAAUAUAUGACUUUGACGGAUUAUAUUAUCGACCCGGGAAGGAGGGAGAUGGGAGUGAGAUGGACCUUGCAUCAAUCGUUGAUUUUUGCUUUAAUUGGUCUUACAUAAACCUGACGCCCAAACAUUUCUUCACUACAAUAACGUACGAUAUCAGAAAUUCAACCAAUCCGCUUGAGUUAUAUUUUGAGGUUCAGCGAUGAUGCUCUCGUAAUAUAACCAGUAGAAUGUGUUCUACAGAAAAAGUGGAGAUCAGCUUUCGUUUAUUGGAAAACAGCAAUCUACAUACUAAAACCACAAUUUCGCAGUUCCUUAGUGUUCUAUACUACUGCGCUGCAUUUGAUGUUGUAUGGGGAAGUCGGGUCACCUUGAUUCGUCCUUCACCGCUCUCGACCUCUAAUAUCAUCUAGGACUUAACAGAAGCUUUUUGGGCGAUUGCUGUGCUUUCAGAAGGUCAUGCCGGGGGAUUUAAAGGUCGUGGUUUGUGGUGGGGGCAAUGCGGCCCACACAAUGGCAGGUCUUGCAGCCUCGAGACAAAAUACAGACGUUCGGGUUUUUGAUCUGUUCAGCGACGAAGCAGAACGCUGGGCUAAAGCUUUGGGUAACGAUGAUUUAACUGUAUCUGUGCACAGAGAAGGAAAAAUUACUGACAUUAAAAGUAAGCCCAAUGUUAUAACGAACGACCCUAGCAAGUCGCUUCCGGGUGCCGACAUUAUCAUUAUCGCUGUUCCUGCAUUCGCACACGCUGCCUAUCUCGACGCUAUCAAAUCCUACCUCAAACCAGGCCUAAUCAUCGUUGCUACCCCUGGUCAACCGGGCUUUGAGUUUGAGGUGAAGAGCAAACUAGGAGAAGGCGUAUCACAGUGCAAUGUUGUUUGCAUAGAAACAUUACCAUGGGCGUGUAGAAUAAAGGAGUUCGGCCGACAAGUGGAGAUACUCGGUUGUAAAGUAUCGAUGACGGGAGCCAUAAAAUAUGCAGAUCCCCCUGCGGGACCGGAUCCUCAAGACACGUUUCAGUUUCUGCUUGGCCCCGAGCCUGUCCUAAACAUCAAAGGUCACCUUCUUGCCGUAUCUCUUAUGUCCGUCAACUCGUAUCUCCACAGUGCCAUUCUCUAUGGGCGAUGGGGGCCCGAAGUGUGGGACGGGACACCGGUAGCGGAGGCCCCGCUUUUCUACCAAGGACUGGACGAACAUAGUACCGACAUACUGGACGCCAUGACACGAGAAGUAGUCUCAAUCGCAAAGAUGGUAACUGCAAAACGACAAAAUGUCGACAUGUCAACGGUAGUUCAUAUUCACGACUGGUAUACGACUGUCUACGCUGCGGAUAUCACCGACCCGACCACUCUGCAGUCAACGCUUAAAACCAACAAGGCUUACAAUGGGUUGAGGCAUCCUUGUGUCCCAGCGGGAGAUGGUAAAGUACUGCCCGAUUUCAGUCAUCGUUACCUAGGUGAGGACAUCCCAUAUGGCCUCACUGUCACCAAGGGGAUAGCUGAGAUUGUUGGCACCCCAGUGCCUGUUACAGAUAUGGUGUUAAAAUGGUGUCAGGAAAAAAUGGGAAAAGAAUAUCUGGUUGAUGGCAAAUUAGUAGGUAAAGAUGUCGCGUCGACACGUGCCCCACAGAAAUAUGGUUUCUAUACCCUCGACGACAUCCUCAAUUGAUGAGUCAUAUCUUAGUGAAUGUAGUGUAACAUCUAGACAUGUAUAAUGGUAUAAGAAUAGAUUAAUUAGUGGAAGUGGUGGUGCUAACAUAAAGACACAUAGAGUGGUCAAUCCUGAGACGAACAAUUUGCUACAAAGAUACCCCAAAUCAAUCAGUAUUGGCUUUUUAAUAAAUCGGCAAUUGCAACUCAUUCGUACUCACUGCCCGUUCAGCAGGUCAUGUUUCUCUUGCAUGUUGAAAUAGAUGAUUAGCUCUGAACGAAUUAAAUUGUUUACAUGCUCUAAACGAAACAGACAAGUGAGGUCACAACUCUGUAAAUUACUUUGCACAAUGUCGCUUUUACCUCUGCGGCUAUUAACCGAUAAUCAUUUAACAUCUGGUAAUUUUUUGAAGGCAAUGAUGGCAACUCGUAAAUGAAGGUAAACUUUAGAUUAUGUGCAGCAAUAUCCGUUUUAGCUAGUUUACGUUGUAUUGUAUUUUACAUACUUUGUUUACUCUUUGUUUUUACAAUGUUUGUGAACCAAAUGUUGGAGAUUGUGCCAUAGACAGAAAUAUAUUUACAAAUUAUUACAACGAUCAUGUUUAGUUCCACUAGAUUCUGAGAUUUGGGAAAUAUUCGAGAUGAAAAUUAAUUUUUUUCAUUUGUUGAGUUGUCCAAGGGAUGAACUAGGUCUAGGGGGUGACAUUUUUGUAUGUACAGGGUGGGCCAAAAAUCGCCACUCUUUUCAAAAUGCUACAACUUUUUUAAUGUUUGAUAUUAAAUCA
rnacentral:misc_RNA from 1 species